rnacentral:rRNA from 1 species
AGCCUGAUUUGCCGUGACCCCGCUGAGUGAUGAAGGCCUUAGGGUCGUAAAGCUCUUUCGCCUGUGAAGAUAAUGACUGUAGCAGGUAAAGAAACCCCGGCUAACUCCGUUGCCAGCAGCCGCGGUAAUACGGAGGGGGUUAGCGUUGUUCGGAAUUACUGGGCGUAAAGCGCGCGUAGGCGGACUGGAAAGUUGGGGGUGAAAUCCCAGGGCUCAACCCUGGAACUGCCUCCAAAACUAUCAGUCUAGAGUUCGAGAGAGGUGAGUGGAAUUCCGAGUGUAGAGGUGAAAUUCGUAGAUAUUCGGAGGAACACCAGUGGCGAAGGCGGCUCACUGGCUCGAUACUGACGCUGAGGUGCGAAAGUGUGGGGAGCAAACAGGAUUAGAUACCCUGGUAGUCCACACCGUAAACGAUGAAUGCCAGUCGUCGGGUAGCAUGCUAUUCGGUGACACACCUAACGGAUUAAGCAUUCCGCCUGGGGAGUACGGUCGCAAGAUUAAAACUCAAAGGAAUUGACGGAAACU